rnacentral:rRNA from 1 species
CAGCAGCAGCCACGGGAAUACGGAGGAUCCAAGCGUUAUCCGGAAUCAUUGGGUUUAAAGGGUCCGUAGGCGGUCUUGUAAGUCAGUGGUGAAAGCCCAUCGCUCAACGGUGGAACGGCCAUUGAUACUGCAGGACUUGAAUUAUUGGGAAGUAACUAGAAUAUGUAGUGUAGCGGUGAAAUGCUUAGAGAUUACAUGGAAUACCAAUUGCGAAGGCAGGUUACUACCAAUUGAUUGACGCUGAUGGACGAAAGCGUGGGUAGCGAACAGGAUUAGAUACCCGUUAGUCCCUGUCUCUUAUACA